AUUCAAACACCGGUUCUCGUUCAAUCACAGGAGUUAAGCAACGUCGAGCCUGGUCAGUAACUAGAUGGGUGACCGCUUGGAAAUACCAGUUGCUGUAAG